AAAGGCAUUUGUAAAGGUAAAGUAAAAUCUGUCAGUCACACUUGUCCUUUUUCAAAAUAUAACAAAUUACCAAAGAAAACUGAGAUCAAACUCUAAGUUUUAGCCUUUAGGUAAGAGAGUAUUAAGGGUUAAAAUACAGAAUGCCUCUCUUUGUAAAAGGAUAUUGUUGAUGUCCCCUCAGUUUCAGGGUGUUUUCGCAUGUUCAGUAUCCUCUGUGGAUGAAUGACUUCUGCAUUUCGGCCAUCACCAACUUGGUAUUUUGGAGCCAGAAGUGACCGUAUUUGGAUAAAAAGUAAUGACACCGUCUGCUCUGGGAUGACUGAUAAGAAGUGUGUCGGUCCUCCUGGUGAUGGGUAAGCUCUGACUGUGAGAUCAUGAAUGUCUGGAGCACUCUUGAUAACAAUGCACUGUUUCCAAACAUGCUUUUAAAUGAAAUUCAUUCGCUGUUAGAUUGAAACAUUGCACAAUUUAAAUUACUGGAAGCUUUUAAUAAGAGUUCCUCACAGAUUUCACCUAUUUUCUCUUUAAAGUGCACCAGACUGACCACCUUAGAGGUUUUGGAAUCCCCCCACUAUAGUUUGACACAGGGCCUCCGCCCAAACGACAUUUUCCACAGAGAUAAAAAAAACAGAAACGGCCCUGGCCUUCUUGUUUUUGCUAAGUGCAUUGUGUUUAUGCUUAUUCUCAACCUUCCUCUCCCCUUGUGCUUAAACAAGAGUGAGAAGACGUAAGGAGCUGCAAGCUUUUGGUUUCUAUUGAUUAACACUUGGAAGCUUUUUAAUAUUUCAUCUUUAGAUCCAUUUUUCAUCCUGCAGUUUUUGGUCAACUACAGUACGAUCAUGGACUUGUGGAGGCAAAUCCUGGACGGACUCAGGGCUUUAUGUAGAUGCAUUUCAGGUGACCCUGAUUAUAUCCUUAAUAAGCAGGGGGAUAUUUUUUUAAUCUAUAAACGAAUCUCUCAGGGUACAACAGCAAAGCAGCACAGUUUAGACAAGACAGGUGCACUCUUUAAAAAUAAUAAUUUUAAAUGGAGGAGGUGCCCCUCAGUGUUUUUUUUUGACAGUCUGAGGCAGCAUCAAUCACAUGAGCAGCAACAGCAGCAGCAGCUCUUCAACUCCAACACUGAAACUAGUGUACAGCUCGUCUGCACUGUAUAAGUGAGCCUCAGAUGCAUUUGGCUUAAAUUAAGGCAGAAGUUCUAACUUUCAUUUUUCUAAAAAUUAUAAAAAUGUCCAAGGAACUGUGCCACACAAGUUAUGACAACAAAUCAUUAUUUACAGAAUCAACCACAACAGCAACAGUUGCUGAUAAUGGGGGUGUUGUUAGCAACAGAAGACUGGACAAUGUUACAGGAUCUUCUCUCAACAUGAGGGUUGAAACAGUGAGUGGUGCAGGAAAUCCUCCUUCUGGAAAUCCUGUUGAAGAGAACUCUCAAGCUGUUCUCACUGCAUGUGAUGGCAGUGUAGUUUGUACUGACAGAAUAACUAAUAGCAAGUUUAAAGGUGACAUGGAUUUAUCAAUAUCUGUGAAACCAUCACAAGGACAGUAGAUGAGACACUGCCGUCCUCUCAGGAGGCAAAGGAGCCAACACACCCAGUUCAACUUUUUGGCCUACUGACUUGGCAUAAAAACGUACUUCAUAGAUGUGUUGCAUCCACCGCUGUUUGUUGUGUGUAGGAGGUGCUUGUGUAGGUUUGGCGCCAUCCAUAGCACCAACAGGAGGAGAUCAAUUGACUGACAGACAUUACUUGUACAGCAGAUCUAUAACACACAUGCACACACACUCAACAACAACAACACAUAAAAGAGACAUGAGAUAUGUAUGAAUGACUAUAUACUGUAUAUCAUUCUAUUUGGUUUACUAAUUUAAGUACCUAUUUCACUGUACUGAUUAAUACUGUUUUUCAUGUGAUCAGUUUCAUUCACUGUCCUUUAAUUGUAAGUGUGCUUUGGCAACACAUCUCAAAUGCCAUGCCGAUAAAGCCUACUGAGUUGAACUGAACUGACAUGUCAGUUGGUUCAUUUUCUCAACCUGCUUGUUUUAAUGGCUGUGACUAGAAUUUUUGACUUUCUCAUAGAAAGAGAGAAAGAUAGAGUAAUGCAAGCCACGAACAGUGGUUUGCAUGUGCUUCCACCUGCUGAUUUUGUAAGUGCUCUGUUUAAUCCAUUUAUACCAAAAUAGGCUAUGAUUUAUUGGAAGAAACCAAAUAUUUCUAUGUAAAAUUAGAUAUUCAGCAUCCCCAUAUAGCCUGAAUGGAAAGAUCCUUUGUCUCAUAACCACAUUUUCCCAAUACUACAACAGUUUAACUGUGAGAUCGGUAGUCCAAUCGGGCAUCAGGUUGAAUUGUCGAAUAACUGACUAUUCAGGGUCACCUCUAAAAGUUGGAUAACUUUAAAACCAUGUCAGUGGGCAGUAGCAUAAAUGAUCUGUGAAGCAGUAAUCACAGUAAUACAUGGGAAACAAGUUAAAUGUAGGAAUGAGUGAUCCACCUCUCAUAUCCUUUUGUCUCUCUGCUUUCAACAUGACUUUGUUGCUGUUCAUUUCUUUCCAUCCUCGACUUUUUUUCUCUCAGACCCUCCGUAUUCACUUUGGGGCUUAAUAAAAUUAACAAAAAUUCA